rnacentral:lncRNA from 1 species
GAGCUCUAAUUUUUUAAGAUACUUCAAGUAACACAUUCAAAUUUAGUUCUGAUUUUUUUUAGGUUACAUCAAGCAACAGCAAUGCCACAUCUGAGACUUAGGACCUGAAAUACACCAUUCCUCUGGUUGCCACAGCAAGUCCCAAGCAGCAGGGAAUUACAGCAGCUGGGAAUUCUGCCAUGGAGACAAAAGGAAUUAUCAAGGACUCCACUGGUGAGAAACAACAGUUUGUGAUAUACAAUGCCACAGAACACCAGGUAGUAACAACAGAAGAAAAGGAAAUCUGCUGUUUGCUUUCACUGCUUGCAGAUUCAGAAGUUGCUGACAGGUGAGAACAAUUUUCCUAUCUUUGCUGCAACAUCCCUGCAGUAAACGGAAAUUUUCAGCAGCAUGCACUCGGCAUAAAAAGCAAAAUCAUCCAAUAAAACCA